rnacentral:rRNA from 1 species
AAUAGAUACCCCGGUAGUCCACGCCGUAAACGAUGAAUGCUAGGUGUUAGGGGUUUCGAUACCCUUGGUGCCGAAGUUAACACAUUAAGCAUUCCGCCUGGGGAGUACGGUCGCAAGACUGAAACUCAAAGGAAUUGACGGGGACCCGCACAAGCAGUGGAGUAUGUGGUUUAAUUCGAAGCAACGCGAAGAACCUUACCAGGUCUUGACAUCUGAAUGACCGGUGCAGAGAUGUACCUUUCCUUCGGGACAUUCAAGACAGGUGGUGCAUGGUUGUCGUCAGCUCGUGUCGUGAGAUGUUGGGUUAAGUCCCGCAACGAGCGCAACCCUUGAUCUUAGUUGCCAGCAUUUCGGAUGGGCACUCUAAGGUGACUGCCGGUGACAAACCGGAGGAAGGUGGGGAUGACGUCAAAUCAUCAUGCCCCUUAUGACCUGGGCUACACACGUACUACAAUGGCCGGUACAACGGGCCGCGAAGCCGCGAGGUGGAGCUAAUCCUAAAAACGCCGGUCUCAGUUCGGAUUGUAGGCUGCAACUCGCCUA